rnacentral:rRNA from 1 species
GACGAACGCUGGCGGCGUGCCUAACACAUGCAAGUUGAGCGAAUGAAGUUCCUUCGGGAAUGGAUUUAGCGGCGGACGGGUGAGUAACACGUGGGCAACCUGCCUCAUAGAGGGGAAUAGCCUUCCGAAGGGGAGAUUAAUACCGCAUAAGAUUGUAGUACCGCAUGGUACAGCAAUUAAAGGAGCAAUCCGCUAUGAGAUGGGCCCGCGGCGCAUUAGCUAGUUGGUGAGGUAAUGGCUCACCAAGGCGAUGAUGCGUAGCCGACCUGAGAGGGUGAUCGGCCACAUUGGGACUGAGACACGGCCCAGACUCCUACGGGAGGCAGCAGUGGGGAAUAUUGCACAAUGGGGGAAACCCUGAUGCAGCAACGCCGCGUGCGUGAUGACGGCCUUCGGGUUGUAAAGCUCUGUCUUCAGGGACGAUAAUGACGGUACCUGAGGAGGAAGCCACGGCUAACUACGUGCCAGCCGCCGCCGUAAUAC